GAUGAACGCUGGCGGCGUGCCUAAUACAUGCAAGUCGAGCGAACAGAUGAGGAGCUUGCUCCUCUGACGUUAGCGGCGGACGGGUGAGUAACACGUGGAUAACCUACCUAUAAGACUGGGAUAAAUUCGGGAAACCGGAGCUAAUACCGGAUAAAAUAUUGAACCGCAUGGUUCAAUAGUGAAAGACGGUUUUGCUGUCACUUAUAGAUGGAUCCGCGCCGCAUUAGCUAGUUGGUAAGGUAACGGCUUACCAAGGCAACGAUGCGUAGCCGACCUGAGAGGGUGAUAGCCCACACUGGAACUUAGCCACGGUCACGACUCCUACGGGAGGCACCAGUAGGGAAUCUUACGCAAUGGGCGAAAGUCUGACAGAGCGACGGAGCGUGAGUGAUGAAGGUCUCCGGAUCGUAAAACUCUGUUAUUAGGGAUAAACAAAUGUGUAAGUAACUAUGCACGACUUGACGGUACCUACUCAGAAAGCCACGGCUAACUACGUG
rnacentral:rRNA from 1 species